rnacentral:misc_RNA from 1 species
GAAAUGCGAUAAGUAAUGUGAAUUGCAGAAUUCAGUGAAUCAUCGAAUCUUUGAACGCACCUUGCGCUCCUUGGUAUUCCUUGGAGCAUGCCUGUUUGAGUAUCAUGAAAUCUUCAAAGUAAAUCUUUUGUUAACUCAAUUGGUUUCUACUUUGGUAUUGGAGGUCUUUGCAGCUUCACACCUGCUCCUCGUUGUUCAUUAGCUGGAUCUCAGUGUUAUGCUUGGUUCCACUCGGCGUGAUAAGUUAUCUAUCGCUGAGGACACUGUAAAAGGUGGCCAAGGUAAAUGCAGAUGAACCGCUUCUAAUAGUCCAUUGACUUGGACAAUACUUUUAUGAUCUGAUCUCAAAUCAGGUAGGACUACCCGCUGAACUUAAGC